GAUGAACGCUGGGGGCGUGCCUAAUACAUGCAAGUCGAGCGAACGGACGAGAAGCUUGCUUCUCUGAUGUUAGCGGCGGACGGGUGAGUAACACGUGGAUAACCUACCUAUAAGACUGGGAUAACUUCGGGAAACCGGAGCUAAUACCGGAUGAUAUUUUGAACCGCAUGGUUCAAAAGUGAAAGACGGUCUUGCUGUCACUUAUAGAUGGAUCCGCGCUGCAUUAGCUAGUUGGUAAGGUAACGGCUUACCAAGGCAACGAUGCAUAGCCGACCUGAGGGGGUGAUCGGCCACACUGGAACUGAGACACGGUCCAGACUCCUACGGGAGGCAGCAGUAGGGAAUCUUCCGCAAUGGGCGAAAGCCUGACGGAGCAACGCCGCGUGAGUGAUGAAGGUCUUCGGAUCGUAAAACUCUGUUAUUAGGGAAGAACAUAUGUGUAAGUAACUGUGCACAUCUUGACGGUACCUAAUCAGAAAGCCACGGCUAACUACGUG
rnacentral:rRNA from 1 species